rnacentral:rRNA from 1 species
GGGGGAUAUUGCACAAUGGGGGAAACCCUGAUGCAGCGACGCCGCGUGGAGGAAGAAGGUUUUCGGAUUGUAAACUCCUGUCGUUAGGGACGAUAAUGACGGUACCUAACAAGAAAGCACCGGCUAACUACGUGCCAGCAGCCGCGGUAAAACGUAGGGUGCAAGCGUUGUCCGGAAUUACUGGGUGUAAAGGGAGCGCAGGCGGGAAGACAAGUUGGAAGUGAAAACCAUGGGCUCAACCCAUGAAUUGCUUUCAAAACUGUUUUUCUUGAGUAGUGCAGAGGUAGAUGGAAUUCCCGGUGUAGCGGUGGAAUGCGUAGAUAUCGGGAGGAACACCAGUGGCGAAGGCGGUCUACUGGGCACCAACUGACGCUGAGGCUCGAAAGCAUGGGUAGCAAACAGGAUUAGAUACCCUGGUAGUCCAUGCCGUAAACGAUGAUUACUAGGUGUUGGGGGAUUGACCCCCUCAGUGCCGCAGUUAACACAAUAAGUAAUCCACCUGGGGAGUACGACCGCAAGGUUGAAACUCAAAGGAAUUGACGGGGGCCCACACAAGCAGUGGAGUAUGUGGUUUAAUUCGAAGCAACGCGAAGAACCUUACCAGGUCUUGACAUCCGAUGCAUAGCACAGAGAUGUGUGAAAUCCUUCGGGACAUCGAGACAGGUGGUGCAUGGUUGUCGUCAGCUCGUGUCGUGAGAUGUUGGGUUAAGUCCCGCAACGAGCGCAACCCUUAUUGCCAGUUACUACGUUAAGAGGACUCUGGCGAGACUGCCGUUGACAAAACGGAGGAAGGUGGGGAUGACGUCAAAUCAUCAUGCCCUUUAUGACCUGGGCUACACACGUACUACAAUGGCGUUAAACAAAGAGAAGCAAGACCGCGAGGUGGAGCAAAACUCAAAAACAACGUCUCAGUUCAGAUUGCAGGCUGCAACUCGCCUGCAUGAAGUCGGAAUUGCUAGUAAUCGCGGAUCAGCAUGCCGCGGUGAAUACGUUCCCG